CAAUAGCGUAUACUAAAGUUGUUGCAGUUAAAAAGCUCGUAGUUGAAUUUCUGGUCUUGGACGGCGGUCUACCACAAUUGUGGUACGUACCAACUGUCCGAGUCCAUCCUCGGGGAAAACAUGCCUGUGAUUCAGUUCAUGGGUAUGGGAUCCUCGUCAUUUACUGUGAGCAAAAUAGAGUGUUCAAAGCAGGCUUAUGCCGUUGAAUACAUUAGCAUGGAAUAAUAAGAUAGGACCUUGGUCUAUUUUGUUGGUUUGUACUCCAAGGUAAUGAUUAAUAGGGAUAGUUGGGGGUAUUCGUAUUCAAUUGUCAGAGGUGAAAUUCUUGGAUUUAUGGAAGACGAACUACUGCGAAAGCAUUUACCAAGGAUGUUUUCAUUAAUCAAGAACGAAAGUAAGGGGAUCGAAGACGAUUAGAUACCAU
rnacentral:rRNA from 1 species